rnacentral:rRNA from 1 species
CUGAAAUAUCCCGGCUUAACCGGGAGGGUGGCAUUGAUACUGAUGAACUUGAGUACAGUCGAAGUAGGCGGAAUGGACGGUGUAGCGGUGAAAUGCAUAGAUAUCGUCCAGAACACCGAUAGUGAAGACAGCUUACUAGGCUGUAACUGACGCUGAGGCACGAAAGUGUGGGGAUCAAACAGGAUUAGAUACCCUGGUAGUCCACGCUGUAAACGUUGAUAACUCGCUGUUGGCGAUACACAGCCAGCGGCUUAGCGCAAGCGAUAAGUUAUCCAUCCU